UCGAAAUAUUCCCUUCCUAAAAUCAUUUCAGAAACCUAAACCUAAAAUCUUCAUGUUCUAAGGCUGUAGGAAGAGUGGAAAACCUAAUUGGUGUUCGUUUUGGCAACGACGGUGCAAGUAGAAAGUAAGGCAGCUUUUGACGAUAUUUUGGACUAGUUUGGUUGUUGUGUGUUAGCAAGGCAAUCUACAGUACAGUUGACUAGAGAGGGAGUUGGGCUUAGAGUUUGGGCUUGAGACAUAGAGGUUGGCCCCAUCUCCGAGUUUUGAGAUGCCUUGAUGUUUUUGUUUGAGAAUAAACUUAUUUGUACCUAAAUAUAUAUUUUGAAUUAUAUGUAUAAAAGUUUGUAACAAUACUUAGUUUUCAUACAGUGGUUUAAUUAAAAUGUUGUAUAAAAGGUUUUUAUA